AUCAUAUAAAGCAUAAUGAAACAAAGUAAUAUACAAACUCAUGUUAGAUUUGAUUAAUUUGAUUUACACACACACAAGCCGUACAAUAAUUCUUCCACACACUCGUACUGGCCUCUUCCUGCACCCAACCACUCCUUUUUCCAGUUUCUCAUCCCCACCUACCUGUCGCCACACCCAACCUGUCAUCCUCCUGCCUAGUCAUCCCUUUCUCUCCUCCCCUGCCUUAUUCCCUAUUAUUGUUACUCUUUACUCUGUCCUAGCCAUCUCACAACCACUACCUAUCCAUCCCUCGCUCGCCUGACCUUCCUCAACCUCUUGUGACGUCGCAGAUAGACGAUACUUGGAACUGAAUCCUGAGACGAAUCAUCUUGGCAGCGCGAGACUCAAGGGACGAGGCUAGCUGAUAUGAUUAUGUGUGGCGUAAAUAACAAGCCAGCGCCAAGUACACGAGUUGAGACGAAAAGACGCCGUGACGCAGUGGGCCUCUGCUUUCGUGGACAGUGAUCUGCCGCAAGAGGUGAGUUUUGUCCUGGCCGCGGAAUUCCGGAUAACGCAGGUGUUUGGGAGAGUGGAUGAUCAGCCAGGACUGAGUAGAAGAUGCCGAGUCUCGGGAGUGAACUGUGUGGUGCAGGAGUGUAGCGGUUAUGCAGUCUCUUUUAACAAGAGACAUCGUGGAGGAGGCUGGCGAGUGCUCUCAACACACGUGAGGGAGAGGAGCCAUGGUAACUGUGACCCUGGCCAGGAAGUCUCUUGUUCUGAACAUCUGCGUUGUGUUACCAAGACUGUGUAUUGGUGCAGCGCAUACAGUCUGAUCACUAAGCGUGUUGUAGUGGUGAAACUAUUGCGAAUGAUUAUUGAUCGUUAGAAAAAAAACUAUAGGUCUGAUAAUAAUUCGAUGCUUGAGUUACACUAACGCUGCCACCGCCACCACCGCCGCUACUAAGAGCGUGGAAGCGUCUUUGUGAUGGCUGUCAGGCAGACCUGAGCCAGUUCUGCCGCUGUACACUCCGUGGAUCGUUCAUCCUACUACUGUUUUAUGUCAUGUGACUACGUCUCUUGAACGCUUGGAUUUGGUGGAGCAAGGUGGCCAGGGUGUGGGGCCAGUGCAAGUGAUCUCAGGACUGCUUUGGGCUCCAUAGGACCAGUGAUCUCCGUGAAAACUCGAUAGCGGCCAAUACCUGCCGGGGAAUCAUCCCCUUGUUGCGCCGCCGCCCGUGACGUCACCACGAAAAGAUACACAGUGCGACAGACAAUACUCGUGUAACCUGGAAUGAGGCGGAGGGUGCGGCGAAGUGGUCAGCUGUGGCUGUGGCCGCCUUCAGCCCACCCGCCUGACUGCUCCUCUUUGUCACCGAGUCAUGGGAAAGUCGAGGUGUUAUAUAUAGUAAACGCCUCGCACCUGCGCCUCCUAAAUGCUUAAUCCUUUCACUGUCGGAUCAUUUUUCUUUUUAUCAUCUGCUACUUUAUAGGCGCUCAUUUGUGUACAGUGACUCCUCCCCUACAGUUCUUUAUUUACUUUAUUCUUUUUAGUAAUAGCUGCUGAUUGCAUAGAGCUCGGAAACUGUUAGUAGAAGUGAAUAGAUUGACAGUGAACACGUAACACACAGUGUGUGUGUGUGUGUGUGUGUGUGUGUAAAGACGGCACCCUAAUUAAUGAAGCAGAUUCCCUGCCUGUAUUUCUAACAAAAGUGCCAAAAGAAAUGUUUCACGAUACACCGUAUCUUGAAACAUUUCUGCCCGCACCCUGACUACUUUCAAGAGGCUGUAGUUGAAAUUACACGAGUUUUAAGAGUGUUUCUGUGGUUCUAGUUACAGACUGGUAAGGUCUCUACAGCAUCAACGGGAGAACCAGUCUUGAAAACCCGGGUAAUUAUUUCUGUGGCCUUUGAAAAUAGUCUGGUGAAAGAGCAAGGCCUUUCAGAAUACAAGCACAUAACCUUGCUUCAUGAAAAACAAGUGCAUUCAUGAUACCUAAGACUGCCUUGCUACAUUCCCCCAGUGACUAAUGUAUCUU